rnacentral:ribozyme from 1 species
GUUGCUCGUAAUAAUAAUCACACACCUCUCCGUGGUGAGUAGCAGGCAACGGUCUAUUAUAAUCGGCGAAGAUGUGAAA